rnacentral:rRNA from 1 species
CCUGCUCAAUGAGUAUUUCUUUAAUAGCCGCAGUACACUGACUGUGCUAAGGUAGCGUAAUCAAUUGUCCUUUAAUUGGGGUCGAGUAUGAAAGGAUUCACUGGGUUUAACUGUCUCAAUAAUAUUUUAAAUAACUUACUUAGUAGGUGAAAAUUCCUUCUUUAAAAAGAAAGACGAGAAGACCCUUAGACUUUUUUAAAGUAAAAUUACUUAUUUUUUUUAUUUUGUUGGGGCGACAGAGUUUCAUUUAAACAAACUUUUUACAAAUAUUAUGA